rnacentral:rRNA from 1 species
CCUACGGGAGGCAGCAGUAGGGAAUAUUGCUCAAUGGGGGCAACUCUGAAGCAGCAACGCCGCGUGGAGGAUGAAGGCUUUCGGAUUGUAAACUCCUUUUGUUAGGGAAGAUAAUGAAGGUAUACAACUAAAAAGAGCCGGCUAACGCCGUGCUAGCAGCGGCGGUAAUACGGAGGGGUCAAGCGUUAUCCGGAUUUACUGGGCGUAAAGAGCGCGUAGGCGGGCUAGCAAGUCAGAUGUGAAACCCUAUGGCUCAACCAUAGAAAUGCAUUUGAAACUGUUAUUCUUGAGUAUGGGAGAGGUAGGCGGAAUUCUUGGUGUAGCGGUAAAAUCCGUAGAGAUCAGGAAGAAUACCCAUUGCGAAGGCGACUUACUAGAACAUAACUGACGCUGAUGCGCGAAAGCGUGGGGAGCAAACAGGAUUAGAUACCCGUGUAGUC